AAAUUGAAGAGUUUGAUCAUGGCUCAGAUUGAACGCUGGCGGCAGGCCUAACACAUGCAAGUCGAACGGUAACAGGAAGCAGCUUGCUGCUUCGCUGACGAGUGGCGGACGGGUGAGUAAUGUCUGGGAAACUGCCUGAUGGAGGGGGAUAACUACUGGAAACGGUGGCUAAUACCGCAUAACGUCGCAAGACCAAAGAGGGGGACCUUCGGGCCUCUUGCCAUCAGAUGUGCCCAGAUGGGAUUAGCUUGUUGGUGAGGUAACGGCUCACCAAGGCGACGAUCCCUAGCUGGUCUGAGAGGAUGACCAGCCACACUGGAACUGAGACACGGUCCAGACUCCUACGGGAGGCAGCAGUGGGGAAUAUUGCACAAUGGGCGCAAGCCUGAUGCAGCCAUGCCGCGUGUAUGAAGAAGGCCUUAGGGUUGUAAAGUACUUUCAGCGGGGAGGAAGGUGUUGUGGUUAAUAACCGCAGCAAUUGACGUUACCCGCAGAAGAAGCACCGGCUAACUCCGUGCCAGCAGCCGCGGUAAUACGGAGGGUGCAAGCGUUAAUCGGAAUUACUGGGCGUAAAGCGCACGCAGGCGGUCUGUCAAGUCGGAUGUGAAAUCCCCGGGCUCAACCUGGGAACUGCAUUCGAAACUGGCAGGCUUGAGUCUUGUAGAGGGGGGUAGAAUUCCAGGUGU
rnacentral:rRNA from 1 species